GUUCCUCCAGGUGCUUCCACUGCUUAAAUGAGAUCUUCAUUGGAGCUAUAGUAGACAUCUCUCAAGUAAAGGGGAGCAAAUUCUUCUUGCUCCUUCCUGAUAUCCUUGAUGGAUGGCUUGUAAUGGUUUAGAGAAAGGGUGUGGAAGCAUGUAGCAUGUUGAAUCUGAACAUUGAACGGUGCUCAAAUGGUGGAAAUGGGUUCUAAAAGGUCUGAUGGGAAGAGGAAGAAGGGAAUGAC
rnacentral:lncRNA from 1 species